CAGCGAUCUGUGACUGCAAGAGGAAGGCAGGAGAGUCCGUGUCAGUGAGAUGCAGCGUGAGAAAGGCUUGGCCGGGCAUCGCUGGACCUGGAGAUGAUAUUAUUAUCUGCUGAGAUGAUGGUGGCCUAGAGAGGUUUAGAAGUCACACCAGAGUCACCUAGCUGGAAAACCCUUCGCUGGCUCUGUGGAGCCUUUGGAUUACAACCAGUCCACACCACUCUGGACACAGCCCCACAGGGAGAUGAGCUCCAUACGAGCAAGGACUUCGUCUGUUUCUGUCAGUGUUGUGCAUGUGCCAUCCAGAAAGCACCUGACUUGCUAGGACUUCCUUUAUAAUGAUUUAUU